UACGUAGGGGGCAAGCGUUGUCCGGAAUCAUUGGGCGUAAAGAGCGUGUAGGCGGCCCGGUAAGUCCGCUGUGAAAGUCCAGGGCUCAACCCUGGGAUGCCGGUGGAUACUGUCGGGCUCGAGUCCGGAAGAGGAGUGUGGAAUUCCUGGUGUAGCGGUGAAAUGCGCAGAUAUCGAGGAAGAACACCCGUGGCGAAGGCG
rnacentral:rRNA from 1 species